UGGGGUGUAGCCAAGUGGUAAGGCAGAGGGUUUUGGUCCCUCCAUCCGAGGUUCGAGUCCUUGCACCCCAA
rnacentral:tRNA from 1 species